CGUAAGUUAUCCUUUUCGAAUUUUCUUAUUUGUAAUUUGUACCCAACAUUUUAUCUUAUUUUACUAACAUUAUAUAUUUUUUUGAUAUUAUAUAGCACGUUUGCAGGAAUGUGAAUACGACGACGAUUGUCCACAAAUUGUUUCAUCACCUUUGGUUAUAAGGUGUAUUGAUUACAAUUGUAUAGUUGUUAACCAUUAGGAUAAUUUAUCGCAGGAUCAAGAUAUUACACAAAUGCCAUGAAAGGGGAGAAUGAACUUUUUUGUUUUUUUGAAGUUAGAAAUGAACUCUUUAGCUAGCUAAAUUUGUGCAAUAUAUAUCUUAUCUUAUAUAUCUUAUCUUACAUAUUCUAAUUUCAAAUUUUUUGAAGUUAAUGACUUGUACUCUAAAAUAAUGUUUUAAAAUCAAAUAGAAAUAAAUAAAUAUAUAAAAAAAUAGUUGAAUCGGUUUAACCGUUAUAAAACCGGUUAAACUAGAUAAUAAUAAAUAAAAUAAA
rnacentral:lncRNA from 1 species